AGUCAUGUGGUCUAAACCACACUUUUUUAUUUUUGUACAUACCAUCUCCGUUAUGUUCUGAAUGCGGUAUCAUAGAAGAUGCAGUACAUAUUGUGGAGAAGAUAUCAGAAAUUAAAUGCAAAUACUCAAAAAUUUUAAAAAAUUGUAUGUUGUUAUUCAAUUUUGGCGUAUCCUAUCUUAGAACUGGCUAAACUAUUGUAGGUAUAUUAACAAGAUUGUAAAAAAAAUUAUGCGACGACGACUUCAUUCAUUUUCUUUUAAGUAACAUGUGUAACAUUCCUAUGGAGUGGCGUAGGCCUUGUGGCAUAAAUAAAGAAAAAAAAAUAUAAUAAAAA